UACAGAGGGGGCAAGCGUUGUUCGGAAUUACUGGGCGUAAAGGGCGCGUAGGCGGCUUGGCAAGUGGAUGGUGAAAUCCCUCGGCUUAACCGAGGAACUGCCAUCCAGACUGCUUUGCUUGAGGCCGGGAGAGGUGAGUGGAAUUCCCAGUGUAGCGGUGAAAUGCGCAGAUAUCAGGAGGAACACCGGUGGCGAAGGCGGCUUCCUGGACCGACACUGACGCUGAGGCGCGAAAGCUAGGGGAGCAAACGGG
rnacentral:rRNA from 1 species